CCAACAUGUUGGCAAAACUGAUUAUUUUCGUUGUGGAUCUCAUGCUUGCUUUGGCCAUUUUUAUUAUCUUUUAUUUAAUGGCUGUCACUGGUAUUUUCAUCUCGGUCAUUUUCUGUAUUUUCAAAGCGGAGAUGGAAAAAAACUGUAACUUCAACCAGCCCUGAAUCUGGGCCCUGGAUUCUCGCAAUGCUACUGAGGAGCCUUUGGCAGGCGGCGCAAAGAAAGUCAGCUCCAAGCUGCCUCCGGUCCAUUUUCCAGCUGUAGGAGCAGGGUCUUCCCUGCCCAAGGAGAGUGGUCCCGUCUUCUGAAGAGCGCGGAGCUCUCUGCGGUGGAGGCAUGUGAAGACUUCCCAGAACACUGCACCCACCUGGCUGAGAGGUACUUUUUAAGAUGGAGUCUUGCUAUGUCACCCAGGCUGGAGUGCAGUGGUGCGAUGUUGGCUCAUUGCGACCCUCGGCCUCCCGGUUUCAAGAGAUUCUCCUGCCUUAGCCUCCUAAGUAGCUGGAACUACAGGUCAUUCAAACUGUCAUCCACACAUGAAUAACAAUGAAAUUCUCAUAAAGAAGCAGAAAUACCCAGGAGGCAUGAAGAGUCAUCAUGCUUCAAAAGUGCAUGUAUUAGGACUUCAUGACCUCAGGAAAAGUAGACCUCAUAACUCUUAAAAGCUCAACCUUGGAAAGGAGAAAUAUGCUGUUUGAUGACAGCACUGAAACUUGUUGAAAUAUCCUUGGCGCUUGAGAUGUUGAGAGCCAUCAAAAUGUUCUUAACAAUUACAUUGAAAAAUGUUUCUUCAAAAUGUCUUAACCAACCAAAUACAAACAUUUUUGUCAUUGUGGAAAAAAAACCCAAAAACUCGCCAAUUGCCUUUGCUAGUCUCAGCACAGCCCAAGAGGAGCAUCCUUCAUGAGCCAACCGAAAAACAGUCUAUGCUUCUGACCAGAUGGGCUUCUCUUGUCACCAUAACAUUAUGUAUUAGGACUUCAUGUAUUAUGUAUUAUGUCAACACUUUAUUCAUUAUGCUGAUCAUACUCUGUAUUUCACUUGCUCUGGUUAUUUGUAAAGCUUUUCCUAUUUCAUCAUUAGAUUAUCCUUAAAUUGUAGCAACUGCAUUUUAGUCACUCUGUAUUCUAAAUAGUGCCUGCCCAAGUGACAUAUUAAUAAGCAUUUUUUUCUGAAUCAAUAACCACCCCCCCAAAAAAUCUGCAGCCAUAGUUGUAAAUACUGUACAUUCCAAAGAGAAGUGGAAAUGAAUGAAGGACCAAUUUUGAGGAAGAAUUAGAGUUCUCAAAAAUUUAACAAGUAUAAUCAGGAAGUUUUUUAAAAUUUAACAAAUUCAACAAGUAUGUCAACAAGUAUUCAACAAGUUAGAGUUAUAAACAUUUGUUCAAAACUUUACACAUGGUUAAUACCUUCAGAGCAGUGAGUCAGCAGCAAGACUCUCAUUUUUAAACCUUACCCCUUUGUUCAUUUUAAGGGUGGAGACCAUUAUGGAUGGAGACCAUGUUGAUGUCAGAACAAUUGGUCCAGGGGUGUGUGAGGAGCCACUAGAAAGGGAGAAACAGGGAAAUGUGGACCCAAGCAGCAUAGUGUUCCCCAGAAAGUUGGGUUGGACACAAGUGUGUACAUGCAGGAAAAAGUAAAACCACAAAGGUGUGUUAAUCUGAACAAUGCUGUGAGCAAAUGAGACACAGUUCUCCAGGGGACACUCUGAGAAACUACACAGAAUACACUUCAGAAUUGUCCACCAGAAGGACAAAUGAGAGGAAGGAUGAUCCAUUGGCUCUCUUCUACCAUUGGUCAUGUUGGCCCAGAAGGUGUUCACAAUCUUGGACUUCAAAGAUUGCACCUGCUUCAGAAUGGCUGAGUAGUUUGCAGAAGGCAUCUUAACAGAUGGUAACAGAGAAGCAAGAGAUAAGUGCUGCAACUGAUGCAAGGUGCUGGCGGUGACACUAUCACAAAGCUGGUUGCUGUAAAAAUGUGGCCAAGAGGAUGUGAGCUACAACACAAGAGUGGUUCAACAUCAACUCUCAGAAGCACAUGAGUCUCAUGCAAAUCUGUUGUUCUUGAAAUAAUGAGCAAAGGACCAUAUUCAUCCCUUUUGGGCAAUAGUCAGAGAAAGGGGCACCCAUAGAGAGAAAAUAUCUGGUAAUACUAGUUAGGGAGUGGAAGAAGCCAGUUGAUAUAGUUUGGCUGUGUUCCCACGCAGAUUCUCAUUUUGAAUUGUAAUCUGAAUUGUAAUUCCCAUGUGUUAGAACUGGAAACUGGUGGGAGGUAACUUAUUCAUGGGGGUGGUUACCCUCAUGCUGUUCUUAUGAUAGUGAGUUCUCACGAGAUCUGAUGGUUUUAUAACAGACUUUUCCCCAUUUUGCGUGGCACUUCUCCUUGAUGCUGGCAUGUGAAGAAGGAUAUGUUUGCUUCCCCUUCUGUCAUGAUCGUAAGUUUCCUGAGGCCUACCCAGCCAUGCUGAACUGUGAGACAACUAAACCUCUUUACUUUAUAAAUUACUCAGUCUCGGGUAUGUCCUCAUAGCAGAGUGAGAACAGACUAAUGUACCAGGGUACAGAAGAAGCCUAAGACUAAACUGCACCUCUCUGUGCUUUAAACACAGACCAACACCUGGAUGAGUGUUUUUCUUUUUCUUCUGUGCACAUUUUUUGUAUUUGGCUGCUUUUUAACUUGCCAGCUCUGACAGAACAAUGCCAUCUC